AUGGAGUCACAGACCCACGUCCUCAUGUUGUUGCUGUUCUGGGUGUCUGAUACCAGUGGCGACUUCGUAAUGACCCAGUUUCCAUCUUCCCCGUUUGUGUCAGCAGGAGAGAAGGUCACCAUCAGUUGCAAGUCCAGUCUGAGUCUUUUAAGCAUCAGAAACCAAAAGAACUACUUGGCCUGGUACCAGCAGAAACCAGGGCAAUCCCCUAAGCUGCUAAUCUACUGGUCAUUCACUGUUCAAGCAGGGGUCCGAGAUCACUUCACAAGCAGUGGACCUGGGACAAAUUUCACUCUCAGCAUCAACAGUGUGCAGGCUGAAGACCUGGCAGUUUAUUACUGA